ensembl:lncRNA
AAACAAAGCAAGAAAGAGAAGAAGAGAAGUAAAGAAGAAGAGAAGUAAAGAAGAAGAGAAAAGAAGAGAAGUAAAGAAGAGAAGUAAAGAAGAAGAGAAGUAAAGAAGAAGAGAAGUAAAGAAGAAGAGAAAAGAAGAGAAGUAAAGAAGAGAAGUAAAGAAGAAGAGAAGUAAAGAAGAAGAGAAGUAAAGAAGAAGAGAAGUAAAGAGUGUGUGUUGGAUUUUGAUGUUUUAUUUGAUAUAUUUAUUCGUUUUCUUGCAUGUCUCAUGGAUGGGAGGAAGGGAAAGAGGGGAAUGUUUUUCUGUCACCAGCAGAGUUGAGUGAAG